rnacentral:rRNA from 1 species
UACGGGUAGGGCUACCCACGUGCUACNGAUGGGCGGCGAAAGGGAGACUGAGCAAAUCUUUGAAAGCNNGUCGUAGUCCGGAUUGAAGUCUGCAACUCGACUUCAUGAAGUCGGAAUCGCUAGUAAUCGCGAAUCAGCAUGUCGCGGUNAAUACGU